ACCAGUGUGGUGUAAUGGUCUGAGCAUUGGACUAUAAUUCUGGAGAACAGGGGUCGAAUCCCUGCUCUGCCA